GCAGUCGAACGGCAGCACAGUAAGAGCUUGCUCUUAUGGGUGGCGAGUGGCGGACGGGUGAGGAAUACAUCGGAAUCUACCUUUUCGUGGGGGAUAACGUAGGGAAACUUACGCUAAUACCGCAUACGACCUUCGGGUGAAAGCAGGGGACCUUCGGGCCUUGCGCGGAUAGAUGAGCCGAUGUCGGAUUAGCUAGUUGGCGGGGUAAAGGCCCACCAAGGCGACGAUCCGUAGCUGGUCUGAGAGGAUGAUCAGCCACACUGGAACUGAGACACGGUCCAGACUCCUACGGGAGGCAGCAGUGGGGAAUAUUGGACAAUGGGCGCAAGCCUGAUCCAGCCAUACCGCGUGGGUGAAGAAGGCCUUCGGGUUGUAAAGCCCUUUUGUUGGGAAAGAAAAGCAGUCGAUUAAUACUCGGUUGUUCUGACGGUACCCAAAGAAUAAGCACCGGCUAACUUCGUGCCAGCAGCCGCGGUAAUACGAAGGGUGCAAGCGUUACUCGGAAUUACUGGGCGUAAAGCGUGCGUAGGUGGUUGUUUAAGUCUGUUGUGAAAGCCCUGGGCUCAACCUGGGAAUUGCAGUGGAUACUGGGCGACUAGAGUGUGGUAGAGGGUAGUGGAAUUCCCGGUGUAGCAGUGAAAUGCGUAGAGAUCGGGAGGAACAUCCAUGGCGAAGGCAGCUACCUGGACCAACACUGACACUGAG
rnacentral:rRNA from 1 species